AUGGCGACCGGCGCACGGGUGAGUAACACGUAUCCAACCUGCCGAUGACUCGGGGAUAGCCUUUCGAAAGAAAGAUUAAUACCCGAUGGCAUAGUUCUUCCGCAUGGUAGAACUAUUAAAGAAUUUCGGUCAUCGAUGGGGAUGCGUUCCAUUAGGUUGUUGGCGGGGUAACGGCCCACCAAGCCUUCGAUGGAUAGGGGUUCUGAGAGGAAGUCCCCCACAUUGGAACUGAGACACGGUCCAA
rnacentral:rRNA from 1 species